AUUGAACGCUGGCGGCAUGCCUUACACAUGCAAGUCGAACGGCAGCGCGGGAGCAAUCCUGGCGGCGAGUGGCGAACGGGUGAGUAAUACAUCGGAACGUGCCCAAUCGUGGGGGAUAACGCAGCGAAAGCUGUGCUAAUACCGCAUACGAUCUACGGAUGAAAGCAGGGGAUCGCAAGACCUUGCGCGAAUGGAGCGGCCGAUGGCAGAUUAGGUAGCUGGUGAGGUAAAGGCUCACCAAGCCUUCGAUCUGUAGCUGGUCUGAGAGGACGACCAGCCACCUGGGAACGAGAACAGGCCCCGGACCCCAAGGGGGGGCGGCGUGGGGAAUUUUUGGAAAAGGGGGAAAGCCUGAACCAGACCAGGCGGGGGGGAGAAGAAGGGCUUUGGGUUGGAAAACUCUUUUUGUAGGGAAAAAAAGGGGUUUUUUAAAAAAAGAAGGUUAAGGAGGGUACCGAAAAAAAAGGCCCGGGCAAAUUCGGG
rnacentral:rRNA from 1 species